rnacentral:lncRNA from 1 species
AAGAUUUUAUUUAUUUGAGACAGCCCAAGCACGGGGAGGGGCAGAGGGACAAGCAGGCUCACUGAGCUGGGAGCCCACGUGAGGUCUCCAUCCUGCUGGGAUCCUGACCUGAGCUGAAGGCAGAUGCUUCACCCACUGAGCCCCCAGGCUCAGCCCCGUUUCGUCCCUUCUUGAUUUACUUUGUUUUUUUGUGCUUUCGCACGCAUUUUAUUUAUUUUUAAAAAUCGUGAACACACUGAACUCCGUGGGUCCUACACAUCUCCAAGACCACCUCCUCCUGGGCCCUGCACGCCUCCAGGACGUGGCCCUGCAGGUGGGCCAGCACCCCUCUCUCAGCACAGAGGGCUAACCCUGUCUCUGGUGAGUGCUGGUCCUGCCUCAUGUCUUCCUCAUGCCCCAGCCCAAGCACGUAACGUGGACAGCAACUGGAUAAUGUCAAAUUGUCAACCAGAACUUUCUUACCCUGCCAGGGAAAGAUUAACAGUGUGAAUAUUAGUACAUAAUGUGUCAUUGCUGUCUCUAUCACAUACAUACAUAUGCAGUGUGACCAUGUCGCCUCAUGGUGACAGGUGAUGGACUUCCCUGGGUUAUGGGGAUGGGCCAGGUCUAACCACUUGAACCUUCACAAGCGGAGGACUUUUCUGCAGCGGAAAGAGGAGAUCGGGCAGAGGGGACAUCAGUGAGACCUCCAACUGUGGUAAGGAUUCAGUGCUCCACUGCUGGGUCUGAAACAUGGGGUCCAUAUACAAGACUGAAGACAAACUUCUAGGAACUAAGGGUGGAUGCCAACUGCCACCUGACAGCCAGCAAGCACAUGAGGACGUCAUGUGUCCUGAACUACAAGGACCCACGCUCUGCCCGCACCCUGCCUGAGCUUGGGAGCUGAUUCAUCCUUGUGGCCCCCAAUGACAGUGAACCACUGACAUUGAGAUUUCAGCCUCCUGAACCCCCAGAGCAGAGAGCCCAACCCCAGACUUCUGACCCUUAAAACUGUGAGCCAAUAAAUAGGUAUUGUUUAAAGCGGCUGGAUUUUUU